UUUCUCUUGAGGUCAAACUCUUGGACGCUGAGAGGUUUAUAAAAGAUGAACAUUUCCUGACUUAUUGCACAGACUUCAUCCUCUCCAGACGAACUCAGCUGCAGAGAAAGACAAAAUGAAGAUCCUUCUCCUGACUGGCAUCAUCUUCACUGUCGUCCAAACGAUGUUUACCAGCAAAGAAGGGAAGCCUGACUACUGGAAGCCCUGUCACCACAGGAGCGUUGAACAGAAAUACAAAAACUUUACGAUAAGACACAUCAUUCCAGAAGACAGGAGCUUGAAUUCUAUAAAAGACUGGGAAAGCUAUCUAAGAGACAAGGGACUCUGGUGCAGAACACGGAAGCAGUCGUUCAUCCCGGCCAAUAUGACGAAGGACGUCCUGCAGAUCUGCAGCCGGUCUGGCCUCUAUGUGAAGAGUAACUUGUGCAGCGGCAGUUUGAAAAUGCUGGUGUUUGAAGUGUUAUCCUCCAAGUGUCCUCCAAAAAAUGAAACCAGGAAACAAAGGUUUAAUACACGUAUUACGGUAAACAAGACUCAACAGUUUGUGAUUGUGGCCUGUGAUAUGGUUGGAAACAUGUGCCUCCCCGUCCAUUUUGAGGGAAACAAAAGCCUCAAUAGAACGAAUGAGCCAUGCACCGCACCUCCUAGACCGCCGACCAAUCAGAGCAAAGUCUUCAUCAGAUCUGGGAUUUAAAAGAAAGGCUGCUAGCUCUGGGGCGAGGCGUCAACGUAAUUGAGGUCAUUGAUUACGUUGAACCGGACUCAGACGCUGUUCUUAGAUUCUGACAAACUGUUUCUGUUUUAACUUCUCUUGCACUUACGGUAGUCUUAUUUUAACCUGCACAGCUUUUUCCAUCUUUAUGGUAAUACAACCUGGCAGCACACGGUAGUUGUGAACAAAGAGGAAAGUUAAAGCGGUUUAGUUGUUAUAAAGGAUGAUUCAUUACCUUAAAACAUUUGAUUCAGAGCAAUAAACCAUUGUGAAUGAUCCCUUCCUUUACAUCGUACAGACAUUUCAAAUAAAUAUCAGUUCAUCUAACUUUGAUAUUAAGACUAAAUAAGUUUGUUCAUAAUUAUAUUUUCAUGUAAGAGUUUCCUUAACUGCUACAGUGCUAAUUUCUUUUGAUUCCUUUGUGUAAUAAAAAUACUCAAUGUGUUAAUUUUCUUUUCUUUUGAGGAAUAAAUGAAAUAUAUUUUCCUGUC